UACGGAGGGUGCAAGCGUUAUCCGGAUUUACUGGGUUUAAAGGGUGCGCAGGCGGAUAUGUAAGUCAGUGGUGAAAUCUCCAGGCUUAACCUGGAAAUUGCCGUUGAUACUAUAUAUCUUGAAUGCUGUGGAGGUAAGCGGAAUAUGUCAUGUAGCGGUGAAAUGCUUAGAUAUGACAUAGAACACCUAUUGCGAAGGCAGCUUACUACGCAGAUAUUGACGCUCAUGCACGAAAGCGUGGGGAUCAAACAGG
rnacentral:rRNA from 1 species